GACGUAGGGCGCGAGCGUUGUCCGGAUUUAUUGGGCGUAAAGAGCUCGUAGGCGGCUUGUUGCGUCGGCUGUGAAAACCCGCGGCUUAACCGCGGGCCUGCAGCCGAUACGGGCAGGCUAGAGUUCGGUAGGGGAGACUGGAAUUCCUGGUGUAGCGGUGAAAUGCGCAGAUAUCAGGAGGAACACCGGUGGCGAAGGCGGGUCUCUGGGCCUUACCUGACGCUCAGGUGCGAAAGCUAGGGGAGCGAACAGG
rnacentral:rRNA from 1 species